CAGGCUCAUGGAGAAGGAGCUCAGCUCUGUCCAGAGCCAAGGGCGAAGGACCAACGGACGCUUUCAGGCUCUCCAGAAGGUGGUGGGAACCAUACCCCUCCUGCUUCCAAACCUGCAAGCAGGUGCGGACCAUUCCCUCUCCUUUAUCACAUCCAUGGCCUCUCUGUCCUGGCCAGCCACUGCCUAAACCAAACGCUCCAUCUAGGUCUCUUAAGACCACUCUCCGGAAGGGUCCCGCUGGAGAGAUGACUGAGUAGUAAACGAAGAGGCUGACUUAUGAGCCGGACUGGACUCCUCUAUUACCUUGAUUUCUGUCUUAAAUGUUGCAAUAUCCAGAAAAUAUAUCUUGCCCAAAUGUUAUAUUUAUAUUAUAUUAAAGCCUGGUACUAGUUAUCUCAUCUGACUUUGAUUACAUGGAAAUUGAGGAUUAUAAUUCCAUUUUGAAGAUUUAUAGCAUAAAUAUAAAGAAAUAAACAUUAAAUUGAUCCUCAUGGUCAGCAUAGAGAAGUUCAAUUUCCCAGAAAUUCUUUAUCUGAAUCAAAAGCUUUAUUUCAUGUAUUCUAAGUAUCAUUUGUACUCCUUUGAAAUAAAGAAUUAUUUCUGUGCUAACACAGAUGUAAUCAGAUUGUUACUUCCCAAGAAGGAAGUCUUUGCAUAGGCUACACAUAUCUUGACUUCCAAGGGAAAUCAUCCGAUUCCUGGCUGUGUGCUGUAGGAGAUGGUACAAAGGCCACCAAGCUUAUGAGCCAGUGGACUGUGACUCUGUCAUUUCAAAGUGUCAAGGUUUCCUCUUUAAAAAAUAAGUUAUAAAACUGUAGAGUUAUCUCACAGUUAUUAUUGCUUGUGAAAUUGAAAGAUAAAUAAAUGCAUUUUGUUAACUCUAGAGCAACAACACACACACACACACACACACACACACACAUUCAGA